rnacentral:rRNA from 1 species
AUUGAACGCUGGCGGCAGGCCUAACACAUGCAAGUCGAGCGGAGCGGCGGCCGGGUGAGUAAUGUCUGGGCAACUGCCUGAUGGCCGGGGAUAACUACUGGACACGGUAUCUAAUACCGCCUACCAUCAGAUGUGCCCAUCUGGGAUUAGCUAGUAGGUGGGGGAAAGGCCUACCAAGUCGACGAUCCGUAACUGGUCUGAGAGGAUGAUCAGGCACACUGGAACUGAGAAACGGUCCAGACUCCUACGGGAGGCAGCAGUGGGGAAUAUUGGACAAUGGGCGAAAGCCUGAUCCAGCCAUGCGGCGUGUGGGAAGAAGGUCUUCGGAUUGUAAAGCACUGUAAGUUGGGAGGCGUUACCAACAGAAUAAGCACCGGCUAACUUCGUGCCAGCAGCCGCGGUAAUUC